rnacentral:rRNA from 1 species
UACGUAGGGGGCAAGCGUUGUCCGGAUUUAUUGGGCGUAAAGAGCUCGUAGGUGGUUCGGUAAGUCGGAUGUGAAAUCUCCAGGCUCAACCUGGAGGGGUCAUUCGAUACUGCCGUGACUAGAGGUCGGUAGGGGAGUGUGGAAUUCCUGGUGGAGCGGUGAAAUGACGCAGAUAUCAGGAGGAACACCCGUAGCGAAGGCGGCACUCUGGGCCGAUACUGACACUGAGGAGCGAAAGCGUGGGGAGCGAACAGG